GGAUAAAAGAGUAAGUUGGCUUUGACAACCGUCACCACAUUGGCCUCUGAGGAUGACCUUUCUGGACAGGGGAAUGUGCCUCUCUUUCUUUGCUAUUCAUCUGUGUGCCUCCUGAAACUGCAUGUUCUGUUGAAGAGGAUAGCCUUUAAUUCAAUGUUUGGUUCAGUGCAUACAAAUAGCUCAACACACCAGUCAAUAUUUCUCGUACCUUCCUCUGUCUGCUGGUACCUUGG
rfam:Papio anubis isolate 1X1155 chromosome 4, whole genome shotgun sequence.